UACGUAGGGUCCGAGCGUUGUCCGGAAUUACUGGGCGUAAAGAGCUCGUAGGUGGUUUGUCGCGUUGUUCGUGAAAACUCACAGCUCAACUGUGGGCGUGCGGGCGAUACGGGCAGACUUGAGUACUGCAGGGGAGACUGGAAUUCCUGGUGUAGCGGUGAAAUGCGCAGAUAUCAGGAGGAACACCGGUGGCGAAGGCGGAUCUCUGGGCCAUUACUGACGCUGAGGAGCGAAAGCGUGGGGAGCGAACAGG
rnacentral:rRNA from 1 species